rnacentral:rRNA from 1 species
GUAGUCCACGCCGUAAACGAUGGAUGCUAGCUGUUGGAGGUAUCGACCCCUUCAGUAGCGAAGCUAACGCGUUAAGCAUCCCGCCUGUGGAGUACGGCCGCAAGGCUAAAACAUAAAGGAAUUGACGGGGAGAAGCACAAGCGGUGGAGCAUGUUCUUUAAUUCGAUGGUAAACGAAGAACCUUACCAGGGCUUGACAUCCUUAGAAUUACUACGAAAGUAGUGAGUGCUUUAUUGAACUAAGUGACAGGUGUUGCAUGGCCGUCGUCAGCUCGUGUCGUGAGAUGUUUGGUUAAG